CAGGAGGACCCUGGCCUGAAGACCCUUCCUCCCCCCAAGGCUGCUCCUGGGCCUGCAGGUGGUGCUGGCUGGAGUGCACACUUUUGGACCCAAACUUAAGUUUUCAAAUGUGGACUCCUAGAUCUUCACUGGUUUCUAGAAGAUGUUGAGUGCCUGAAAGGAAACGACAAACCAUGAAAAUCGCUUUGAGGUGACCCAUCAGUCCAGUGGUCCCUUGCUCCUCCCAAGGUGGAUCUGAGCUUCAAGAACUCUAACUUCAGGUAAUAAAAUCACA
rnacentral:lncRNA from 1 species